rnacentral:tRNA from 1 species
UCCCUGGUGAUCCAGUGGUUAGGACUCUGUGCUUCUACUGUAGGGGCCCAGGUUUGAUCCCUGGUCAGGGAG